AAAUGACACUCAAGAGCAGGACGGCAACCAAGAGGGACCCAGACAGGCUGGAGGAACAGAUUAACAGAAUUUUCAUGAAACACCAUCAGGACAAAUUCCAAGACCUGCAGCCCCCUUAGUCCUGUAAAAGAAGCUGGGGCACUGGUGGCAUUCAGCUGAGCAGGAGCCAACUGAGCACCUAUGUAGCAGUGCCUGGAGUUGCUGGACCAUGACAUGGCACUAGAGCCAGUGACGGCAGGGGCUAGGGGCUUUGCCGUGUGAGACAAGGCUGUGGAGCAAGACUGGUUCAGCCACGAGAAGGGGAGGCUUCAAGGACACCCAGCAGCAGCCCCAGCACCAGGGAAUGGAGGAGCGGCAGCCAAGCUCUACACACAGUGUGAGGUGGGAAGGUGAGAGGCAGAAACACAAGCUGAGACACAAGAGGCUCAUGCUGGAGAUGAGAAGCCUUUUGACCAAUAGAACUGCCUGGCCACGAAGCCAAGGCCCCAGCCUGUGGGGUUUCAUGCCCCAGCUGGGUGAAGAAGCCCUGAGCAGCCACACUUGAACCCCAGCAGACCAAGGACUGCUGUUCCAGUCAAUGUGUGACUCCACUAUAGUGUGAAAUACAGUAGAGUGAUUUCCACCAACAGACAAAAUCUCCUCUUUGUCUGUACUGGAAUACCUGUGAAGUGGCUUAGAGGAGGAAGAGUAACUGAACCAGGAGAAAGCAUUAAUUUGCCUCAGGAAUGCCAGCUCAACUUUUGUGCCACUUCUCCAUCAUAUUGCACCGAGCCCAGGAAAGGGCAUGAUACUGCAGCUGUGUGAAGAGCUAGCUGACUCACAGUCCAACUGCUGCUCGUUGUAUUCUGUAACACCAAAGUAGGGGUGGGGGAUGUCUGCAAACUUCCUAAUUCCACAUGCUGCUUGAGGGUGAGACUCAGGUUGCAAUAUAAAAAAAGACUCUUCAUGAAAGACCAAAAAUGAACAAAUCAUAAAGAUCAGCAAUAUUUAAAAUAGAACAAUGGGUUCAUUUUGAAUUCAACAUGAUCAAGAUCAGCUUCCUCUCUUCAGGUUUUUUAAGUGGCUCUCAAGCUUCCUGAAGCAGUAUUUAAAGCCUGUCUACUUCUUAGUAGGAGUAGUUAUUAUUCUAAUUACUGAAUAAUUCCGCUUCUGUACUUUAUCAAGUGAUCCUAACUUCAGAGAGUUAUCUACUAAAUACAGUUAGACAUGUAUAAAAGUUACAGUGACUGUGAAUUAUGGAACAGCACUUUGAAAUAUAUCUUAAAGCCUAUAUUCAGUAUUUAUGAAUUAAAAUAUGUAUAUU
rnacentral:lncRNA from 7 species